rnacentral:rRNA from 1 species
CGUGUAGGCGGUCGGCCAAGUCUGAUGUGAAAGCCCGGGGCUUAGCUCCGGAAGUGCGUCGGAAACUAGCCGGCUGGAGCGCGAUAGAGGAGGGUGGAAUUCCUGGUGUAGCGGUGAAAUGCGUAGAUAUCAGGAGGGACACCGGCGGCGAAGGCGGCCCUCUGGAUCGUUGCUGACGCUGAGACGCGAAAGCGUGGGGAGCAAACAGGAUUAGAUACCCUGGUAGUCCACGCUGUAAACUAUGGGUACUAGGUGUUCGGGGUAUUGACCCCCUGAGUGCCGCAGCUAACGCAUUAAGUACCCCGCCUGGGGACUACGGCCGCAAGGUUAAA